AAAACUGCAUCAUGACAUAACAUCAUAACAUAAAACUUCUUGUUUUAUUGUUGAAAAUUUGACAGCUGUCAGUUUUGUUUAUUUUUCAUUCACAAUAGAUUCCAACGAAAAUGCAGCUAGCUGUCUAAAAUUUUGAGGAUUAAAUGGGAGUUAGCAACGGAAUUAUCUUCAUUAACACUUGAAUUAAUCCGGAUUAAUGCAGUUAAUACGGAUUCACGCUGCCGUCUGUCGAAGCUGUUAAGAAAAUUUAAGAGAGAUGUAGUUUGAUAUAAAGUUGCCGGUUUACAUAGCGAUGCCGCGUCGGGGUUAAUGAACCGCUCAACGUUUUAUUAAGAUACAUGUGUAUGUAUUAUGUGUGUUUAUACAACUGAAUGAUGUCGAUAACAAUAGUAAAUUUUCUGUGACACACUAAAAAAGCAUAAUUACCAAAAAAUAAUAAAAUGCUGGCUCUUAAUUACAAUAGCUAUGAAAUGUAUUUGAAAUAUUUGAAAAUGUAAAAAUUUACUUGAAUAAAUUGUUUACAAAAUAUUGUAUAAAAAAGGCAAUGGAUUAUCGAUAUUAACGCCGAUUAGUUGAUUGACAGUACCACAUAAUCAAAAUUGAAAAUAAAGAAUCCUUACGGAGUACGAAGGAGCAGAUAGAAUGUUAUCUAACAUUCCUAGAGAUACAUCCGGAAAAUGAAAUUCCACAAAAACGAACCGACGCGACCUAAACGGAUUGAAGUGCUGUAGAUAGAGAUUACUUAAUAGCUAAUUGCAUUCCAUCAUGCUCCCAUGCCAGAAGGUUAAUUUAUAAUAAACUUACAUAUAUACUGU
rnacentral:lncRNA from 1 species